UACGUAGGGGGGCGAGCGUUGUCCGGAUUCAUUGGGCGUAAAGAGCUCGUAGGCGGUUCGGUAAGUCAGGUGUGAAAUCUCCACGCUCAACGUGGAGGCGCCACCUGAAACUGCCGUGACUAGAGUCCGGUAGGGGAGUGGGGAAUUCCUAGUGUAGCGGUGAAAUGCGCAGAUAUUAGGAGGAACACCGGUGGCGAAGGCGCCACUCUGGGCCGAAACUGACGCUGAGGAGCGAAAGCAUGGGUAGCAAACAGG
rnacentral:rRNA from 1 species